GACGAACGCUGGCGGCGUGCUUAACACAUGCAAGUCGAACGGAAAGGCCUUUUCGGAGGUACUCGAGUGGCGAACGGGUGGGUAAGACGUGGGUGAUCUGCCCUGCACUCUGGGAUAAGCAUGGGAAAGUGGGUCUAAUACCGGAUAGGAACGGACUUUAGUGUGUGGGGUGGAAAGUUUUUGCGGUGUAGGAUGGGCCCGUGGCCUAUACGCUUGUUGGUGGGGUAAUGGUCUACCAAGGCGGCGCCGGGUAGCCGGACUGGGAGGUUGGGCGGCCACAGUGGUACUGAGAAACGGCCCAGACUCCGACGGGAGGCAGCAGGGGGGAAACUUGCACAAUGGGCGCAAGCCUGAUGCAGCGACGCCGCGGGGGGGAUGACGGCCUUCGGGUUGUAAACACCUUUCGCCAGGGACGAAACGUUUUGUGACGGUACCUGGAGAAGAAGCACCGGCUAACUACGUG
rnacentral:rRNA from 1 species